UACGAAGGGUGCAAGCGUUAAUCGGAAUUACUGGGCGUAAAGCGCGCGUAGGCGGUUUGAUAAGUUGGAUGUGAAAGCCCCGGGCUCAACCUGGGAAUUGCAUCCAAAACUGUCUGACUAGAGUACGGUAGAGGGUGGUGGAAUUUCCUGUGUAGCGGUGAAAUGCGUAGAUAUAGGAAGGAACAUCAGUGGCGAAGGCGACCACCUGGACUGAUACUGACGCUGAGGUGCGAAAGCGUGGGGAGCAAACAGGAUUAGAUACCCCUGUAGU
rnacentral:rRNA from 1 species